GAUGAACGCUGGCGGCGUGCCUAAUACAUGCAAGUCGAGCGAACAGACGAGGAGCUUGCUCCUCUGACGUUAGCGGCGGACGGGUGAGUAACACGUGGAUAACCUACCUAUAAGACUGGGAUAACUUCGGGAAACCGGAGCUAAUACCGGAUAAUAUAUUGAACCGCAUGGUUCAAUAGUGAAAGACGGUUUUGCUGUCACUUAUAGAUGGAUCCGCGCCGCAUUAGCUAGUUGGUAAGGUAACGGCUUACCAAGGCAACGAUGCGUAGCCGACCUGAGAGGGUGAUCGGCGACACUGGAACUGAGACACGGUCCAGACUCCUACGGGAGGCAGCAGUAGGGAAUCUUCCGCAAUGGGCGAAAGCCUGACGGAGCAGCGCCGCGUGAGUGAUGAAGGUCUUCGGAUCGUAAAACUCUGUUAUUAGGGAAGAACAAAUGUGUAAGUAACUAUGCACGUCUUGACGGUACCUAAUCAGAAAGCCACGGCUAACUACGUG
rnacentral:rRNA from 1 species